AGUGAAACAGCUAUGUUUGCUGAUGAUGCUAUUUUUUUUAAGCUAGUUGCAGAAUAGGUAGUGAAGGGCUCCAAAAGAUCAAACAGAAGGAAGUAGUAUUAAAAUGGUACGUGCAGUUAAAUGUAAACAUGUAUAAAGUGGCACACAUAGUCAUCAUUGUCAUCAUCAUACAGUAAUAACUGUUACUGCUACUGCUACAAUUAAUCCUAAAUUAAGACAUAUAUGUUGACUUGAGCUAGUAAGGACUCACAAAAAAAAGAAAAAGAAAGAACACCCCCAUUAGUGGCCAUGAACUGGAUGAAAAUAAAAGGAGUAUGUAGUUGGUCUGGAAAAUACCAUAAUUGUGGAUGGGUCAUUAGAAAAGGAAUAAAAAAAUGAAGCUCCCAAUAUUAUAAUGUACACAUUUAUGCUGUUGCCAUUAGGCUUGAGCGAUCCAUGAAAAAAUUGAUUCUAAACUCGUUUCAAAAGUAGGGGGCGCCAGCGUUUCGUUUCUGAUGUCAUUUCCGAAUUUUGCCCCCCAAAAAAUUCGAAAUUAACGAAAAUUCGUUAUUUUCUAAAUUAAUUUGUUAAUGGCGGAUGCGCAUGCGCAGUGGCCAAAAAAAAAACAGCACGAGGGGAGAUUUUACAGGACUCUCCUGCCCUCAUUUUUUGAGUUAUCUUCUUCAAACUUGGUACAGUGGUAGAACACAUUUAACACUGAUAGCUCACCAAAAUUUGGAACGUUUCCCUUAUCUUCUGAUUUUUGGCGAAUUUUCAUAGCUUUUAUAAUAAACCAUUUUUUAAUAAUUGCAGAAAUCUGUUCCUGGUUUGAAAGUCUUAUUUCCUGUUUCAUUGGGUUGUCUUUACUGUGAAAGUCAUUGUUCUACUUCAGAAACUUUGUUUUUGUGGCUGAAACUUUGUUAAAUUGGUGGACCAAACCAUAAUAUGUUCCAUCCAUGUCGCUUGCACAAAGUUCAGGCAAUGUCAUAGAUUUUGCCAUGUUUCUAUGACAGAACCAAUUAGGAAAUGACAUUUAUCACCCAGGAACAGAAAUCAUAGUACACCAUCAAAUCCUUCCUGACAGAUGGCCAUCAGCCUCUGAAUAAGGAAAUUAGUUCCUGGUUUGAAUGUGCUAUUUCCUGUUCCAUUGGCUUUUCUGGGCUGAGAGUGUGUGACUUGCCCAAGUGGGUGGCAGAGUGGGGAAUCAUGCCACAAUUGGAGUCCAAAAUUCAAACCUCUUCCUCCCUCCUUCUCUCUAAACUUCUCAUACCUUCCAAGAAUUCACAUACUGUAUGAAAGUUUGGUCAAGAUGGUCAGAGGAGGGCAACUAAAAUGAUCUAGGGUCUGGAGAACAAGCCCUAUAAGGAGUGGCUUGAAGAACUGGGCAUGUUUAGCCUGCAGAAAAGAAGGCUGAGAGGAGACAUGAUGUAUAAUAUGUGAGGGGAAGUCAUAGAGAGGAAGGAAGAAAGCUUGUUUUCUGCUGCCCUGCAGACUAGGACACUGAACAAUGGCUUUAAACUACAGGAAAGGAGAUUUCAUCUGAACAUUAGGAAGAACUUCCUCACUGUGAGCUGUUCAGCUGUGGAACUCUCUCCCCGGGCUGUGGUGGAGGUUUCUUCUUUGGAGGCUUUUAAGCAGAGGCUGGAUGGCCAUCUGUUGGGAGGGAUUGGAUGGUGUCUUCCUGCCUGGCAGAAGGGGUUGGGCUGGAUGGCCCACGAGGUCUCUUCCAACUCUACUGUUCAAUGACGCUAUGAUUCUAAGUGAGGACAAAAGGGGGUGGGGAAUGUUAAGAGGAGAGAGGGCCUGGAACACCUGGGAAUUGUAGUUUGCAAGUGGGCAUAGUACUAUUGGAGAAACGUUUGCUUCAGCCCAAUGCUUUUAUAAAUGGUCAAUAUUCAGAGGCUUCGUUCUCCUGCAUUUUGAAAGCUAUUAUGAUGAAAUUUGCCAGAAUGGAAGCAAAAAUUAAGUACUCUUAGCCUAUCAAGUUUCAUAAUGUUUGACCCAUCCACUGAUUUUUGGGGAUUUCUGAAGCAACAUUAUUUUAAAAUGUUAGCAGAUCGAUAGCCACGCCUCCCUGUCCUUCUUCCUUCCACUUUGAUUGGCUUGCUAAGGCUUCUGGGAAAUGGAGUUUUUUCUCUCGUUAUGGCGAAUUGCUUCAUUAAUGGUCAAUAUUCAGAGGCUUCGUUCUCCUGCAUUAUGAAAGCUAUUAUGAUGAAAUUUGCCAGAAUGGAAGCAAAAAUUAAGUACUCUUUGCCUAUCAAGUUUCAUAAUGUUUGACCCAUCCACUGAUUUUUGGGGAUUUCUGAAGCAACAUUUUUUUAAAAUGUUAGCAGAUCGAUAGCCACGCCUCCCUGUCCUUCUUCCUUCCACUUUGAUUGGCUUGCUAAGGCUUCUGGGAAAUGGAGUUUUUUCUCUCGUUAUGGCGAAUUGCUUCAUUAAUGGUCAAUAUUCAGAGGCUUCGUUCUCCUGCAUUAUGAAAGCUAUUAUGAUGAAAUUUGCCAGAAUGGAAGCAAAAAUUAAGUACUCUUUGCCUAUCAAGUUUCAUAAUGUUUGACCCAUCCACUGAUUUUUGGGGAUUUUUGAAGCAACAUUUUUUUUAAAAUGCUAGCAGAUCGAUGUCCAUGCCUCUCCCUCCCUCCCUCUUCCGCUGUGAUUGACUGAGAGGCAUGCCAACAUGGCUUCUCCUCUCAUAGGGGCUACAGCUUCAUCCGAAGACAUCAAAAACAAACGAAAAAAGGUACUUUUAUUAUUCAAAUUCAUAAUAUUUGUAAGGGCAGUGAGCAGAUGGUUCAAUAUUAAUUCAAAAUUGCUUACGAAACGAAUUUUUAACGAAUUUAACGAAAUAACGAAAAAUUUGCUCUAGCCUAGUUGCCAUACUUGUAAUAUUGCAUACAUUUCUGGUCACCAUGCCUCUAAAAGGAUAUUGUGAAGUAUUAUAGUCGCCAUAUCCUUUCUGAUCUUAGAAAUUAAGCAGGGUCAGGUCUGAUUAGUACUUGAAUGGGAGGCCACUAAAGAAUACUGGUUGCUACAACCUAUAUUUCAGGGAAAGGCAAUGACAAAUCUUGAUAUUUAUUGGCUAAGAAAACUAUGGAAAUUCAUGAAGGCAGCAUAAAUCAACAGGUGACUUGAAGACACACAUACACACAGCAAGCAUAAUUCCCAUAAAGGAAUGUACAAUAUUUUGAGUUUUUUGGCUAAGUAAAAUGAGUAGUAAGGAUGGGAUAUAAAAAUAUACAUGUUAUAGAGAAAGUUUUUAAAAUUGUUUAUUUGAUAUGUUAAUUGGGUUUUUAUAUCGGGAUUUGAUGUUUUAACUGAUUACGUAUUGCUGUCUGAUGUAUUUGUAUGAAUUGUAUAUGUUGUACGCCGCUUUGAACCCCAUCCACGGGAGAAAAGCGGGAUAGAAAUGAAAUAAUAAUAAUAAUAAUGUGUUUGUAAACAGGAAGAUGUUCUUCUCAUAAUGGUAGAAACUGGGAUCAUCUACAGAUCUAAAUGUUAUGAGAGACUGAAGCAAUAGAAACAGGAAAGACAAAAAAAGCAGCGAGGAGACACAGGAUGACUAUCAACAGGAUAUUUCAGACACUCAGCCUCUUUGAACAAGGCAAGGCAGCUGAACUACAAUCACACCAGGUGGGCAACUGAGGUUGAAAUAACGGGAUUGUGAAAAGAAAUUACCUCAGGCAGUGCUUUGAAUCUUUUAUGUUUCGUUUUUCCUUUAUAAAUCCAUUUCUAAUCAAUUUCUUGGAAGCACAAAAGCAGGUCAAGCAGGCAGGAUGGAGGAGGAGUGACCUGCAGGAGUUUAAAAACAUACAGGCCCUUUAAAAGGACCAAGUUGUGCAGGCCUGGUCUAGACAGAAGAAACCUUUGGACCAUCGAAAGGAUGACAUGAUCCUGGAUGGAUAGUGGAUGUCACCAAGGGAGUGCUAAAAUAUUAAUAUGAUUGAUUAUUGGCUGCCUUCUCCACUUUUUGUAUUGAUGGCAACAAGAGAUGGUUAUGAAGAGCUGCAUAAAUGUGAGCCAGGGAAAUACAAGUAGAGGUCCUCUUACAGAGUUGUGGACCUCUUCAGGUUCCCAAUCCUGCCAAGUUUUGAUGCCUACUCUGAUCACCUGAAUCUUCUGAAGAUGUAAGACUAUCUUUUUGUGAAAUAAAAAUCUUGAAAUCCUUA